GGUUAAGCGACUAAGCGUACACGGUGGAUGCCCUGGCAGUCAGAGGCGAUGAAGGACGUGCUAAUCUGCGAUAAGCGUCGGUAAGGUGAUAUGAACCGUUAUAACCGGCGAUUUCCGAAUGGGGAAACCCAGUGUGUUUCGACACACUAUCAUUAACUGAAUCCAUAGGUUAAUGAGGCGAACCGGGGGAACUGAAACAUCUAAGUACCCCGAGGAAAAGAAAUCAACCGAGAUUCCCCCAGUAGCGGCGAGCGAACGGGGAGCAGCCCAGAGCCUGAAUCAGUGUGUGUGUUAGUGGAAGCGUCUGGAAAGGCGCGCGAUACAGGGUGACAGCCCCGUACACAAAAAUGCACAUGCUGUGAGCUCGAUGAGUAGGGCGGGACACGUGGUAUCCUGUCUGAAUAUGGGGGGACCAUCCUCCAAGGCUAAAUACUCCUGACUGACCGAUAGUGAACCAGUACCGUGAGGGAAAGGCGAAAAGAACCCCGGCGAGGGGAGUGAAAAAGAACCUGAAACCGUGUACGUACAAGCAGUGGGAGCACGCUUAGGCGUGUGACUGCGUACCUUUUGUAUAAUGGGUCAGCGACUUAUAUUCUGUAGCAAGGUUAACCGAAUAGGGGAGCCGAAGGGAAACCGAGUCUUAACUGGGCGUUAAGUUGCAGGGUAUAGACCCGAAACCCGGUGAUCUAGCCAUGGGCAGGUUGAAGGUUGGGUAACACUAACUGGAGGACCGAACCGACUAAUGUUGAAAAAUUAGCGGAUGACUUGUGGCUGGGGGUGAAAGGCCAAUCAAACCGGGAGAUAGCUGGUUCUCCCCGAAAGCUAUUUAGGUAGCGCCUCGUGAAUUCAUCUCCGGGGGUAGAGCACUGUUUCGGCAAGGGGGUCAUCCCGACUUACCAACCCGAUGCAAACUGCGAAUACCGGAGAAUGUUAUCACGGGAGACACACGGCGGGUGCUAACGUCCGUCGUGAAGAGGGAAACAACCCAGACCGCCAGCUAAGGUCCCAAAGUCAUGGUUAAGUGGGAAACGAUGUGGGAAGGCCCAGACAGCCAGGAUGUUGGCUUAGAAGCAGCCAUCAUUUAAAGAAAGCGUAAUAGCUCACUGGUCGAGUCGGCCUGCGCGGAAGAUGUAACGGGGCUAAACCAUGCACCGAAGCUGCGGCAGCGACGCUGAUGCGUUGUUGGGUAGGGGAGCGUUCUGUAAGCCUGCGAAGGUGUGCUGUGAGGCAUGCUGGAGGUAUCAGAAGUGCGAAUGCUGACAUAAGUAACGAUAAAGCGGGUGAAAAGCCCGCUCGCCGGAAGACCAAGGGUUCCUGUCCAACGUUAAUCGGGGCAGGGUGAGUCGACCCCUAAGGCGAGGCCGAAAGGCGUAGUCGAUGGGAAACAGGUUAAUAUUCCUGUACUUGGUGUUACUGCGAAGGGGGGACGGAGAAGGCUAUGUUGGCCGGGCGACGGUUGUCCCGGUUUAAGCGUGUAGGCUGGUUUUCCAGGCAAAUCCGGAAAAUCAAGGCUGAGGCGUGAUGACGAGGCACUACGGUGCUGAAGCAACAAAUGCCCUGCUUCCAGGAAAAGCCUCUAAGCAUCAGGUAACAUCAAAUCGUACCCCAAACCGACACAGGUGGUCAGGUAGAGAAUACCAAGGCGCUUGAGAGAACUCGGGUGAAGGAACUAGGCAAAAUGGUGCCGUAACUUCGGGAGAAGGCACGCUGAUAUGUAGGUGAGGUCCCUCGCGGAUGGAGCUGAAAUCAGUCGAAGAUACCAGCUGGCUGCAACUGUUUAUUAAAAACACAGCACUGUGCAAACACGAAAGUGGACGUAUACGGUGUGACGCCUGCCCGGUGCCGGAAGGUUAAUUGAUGGGGUUAGCGCAAGCGAAGCUCUUGAUCGAAGCCCCGGUAAACGGCGGCCGUAACUAUAACGGUCCUAAGGUAGCGAAAUUCCUUGUCGGGUAAGUUCCGACCUGCACGAAUGGCGUAAUGAUGGCCAGGCUGUCUCCACCCGAGACUCAGUGAAAUUGAACUCGCUGUGAAGAUGCAGUGUACCCGCGGCAAGACGGAAAGACCCCGUGAACCUUUACUAUAGCUUGACACUGAACAUUGAGCCUUGAUGUGUAGGAUAGGUGGGAGGCUUAGAAGUGUGGACGCCAGUCUGCAUGGAGCCGACCUUGAAAUACCACCCUUUAAUGUUUGAUGUUCUAACGUUGACCCGUAAUCCGGGUUGCGGACAGUGUCUGGUGGGUAGUUUGACUGGGGCGGUCUCCUCCUAAAGAGUAACGGAGGAGCACGAAGGUUGGCUAAUCCUGGUCGGACAUCAGGAGGUUAGUGCAAUGGCAUAAGCCAGCUUGACUGCGAGCGUGACGGCGCGAGCAGGUGCGAAAGCAGGUCAUAGUGAUCCGGUGGUUCUGAAUGGAAGGGCCAUCGCUCAACGGAUAAAAGGUACUCCGGGGAUAACAGGCUGAUACCGCCCAAGAGUUCAUAUCGACGGCGGUGUUUGGCACCUCGAUGUCGGCUCAUCACAUCCUGGGGCUGAAGUAGGUCCCAAGGGUAUGGCUGUUCGCCAUUUAAAGUGGUACGCGAGCUGGGUUUAGAACGUCGUGAGACAGUUCGGUCCCUAUCUGCCGUGGGCGCUGGAGAACUGAGGGGGGCUGCUCCUAGUACGAGAGGACCGGAGUGGACGCAUCACUGGUGUUCGGGUUGUCAUGCCAAUGGCACUGCCCGGUAGCUAAAUGCGGAAGAGAUAAGUGCUGAAAGCAUCUAAGCACGAAACUUGCCCCGAGAUGAGUUCUCCCUGACUCCUUGAGAGUCCUGAAGGAACGUUGAAGACGACGACGUUGAUAGGCCGGGUGUGUAAGCGCAGCGAUGCGUUGAGCUAACCGGUACUAAUGAACCGUGAGGCUUAACCUU
rnacentral:rRNA from 1 species